CUUUACUCCAAACAGUGUUAUGUUUAAUAUCAUCAGACGUACAAAGUCGAAGACCCCUUCAGUCUUCUACCCCUUUUUUCCUCACAAUACUAACCUCUGCCUGGUAGCAUGCCUCAAAGAGUACGAGCUACAGACCCAGCCAUUCAGGAAACCAACAACACAGGACCUGGUUUUGGCUCUGAAGAAACCUCAUCUCCCAGUAUCCACAGUGACUCUGGCAUGCUGGGUGAAAUGGAUAAUGUCAGCUGCUAACAUCGGCAUAUCAGUCUACGGAGCUCAUUCUACUAGAGGUGUUAUGGCUUUGAAGGCAUUCACCGUGGGUUGUAAAUUGGAAGACCUUCUCCACACAGCUGAUUGGUCUCGAGAAUCAACAUUCAAAGAGUACUACUUUCGUCCAGCAGAACACAUUUCUUCUAUGGUUAUCUCACAGCUUUAAACUAGCCUAGUAUGAGCCUCCGUGUCCUUUAAUAAAAUUACCAGGUUUUACUAAUUACACAACGUGAAGUCAUGAUUUUAUGAAGGACACGGAGGCGAGUAUUAGCCCACCCAAAGACGGGUAAGUCGUACGCUUUGUCUUCCUACCCAAUAUCAAUGGCAUGUAUGGUUUGUCUGGACUUUAAUGUGGGUUGCCAAAUACUUCUAAUGAUUUGGUUUUUUUGCUGGACUCAUGGGGGACAUGUUCGAUGUUAUGUGCCACUCUACCUCCAAAAACUGUGUGAGUGUGUGAUAUCCCCACAUAAAGGCAGCGUAGUUCAUUCAAUAGGACCAUCAAGAUGGAAAAAUAAGGCAGUACUAGUCAGAUCCCUUUUUAAAGUCCUCAUCAUAGGGAGGGACUGAAAAUAUUUUAGGUAGAUAAAGGAAAAGAGAAUAAUAGUAGCCUACAGACAAAGUCUAUACGUAAAAUUCUAUAAAGUGCGAUAAACAUCAAAUUAACUUAUGCUCCGUAAGAAACAGAAUCAUAGGACUAGCCAAGAAUGCCUCUGUGAAUCCUCGGCACACUGGCCAGAAAGCUUUUUGAUGCAAUGCACCAUUCUGGCUUAGAUUUUGACGUGGACCACUCCAUCCUUGUGUCCCUUUAUGACCAGUCUUACCUGCGUCAUAUUUUGGAUCCACAGCUGACUGUGGCUCAUUCUGGAACUCCUCUACUAGUGGGCUGUCUUGGGGGGUACUGUUGCGACCUCUGGCUCUGGCUCAGGAUGCUGCCAGAUACAUGUCAUUUUGGCUUGAUUUCUGACAUGGACUCCUCUCUCCCGGAGUCCUUUUAUGACCAGUCUUAUUGCAUCAUAUUUUGGAGCCUCAGAUUUGUUGGUAACCUACAAGACUUUUGCACACGUUCUGGCUUCAAAAUGUGACAGACCAGUUAAGAUGACAGAUCACCCAUCUGUUUGUCCAUUGCCCUGUUGUGUUCUUACAUACCCCAGAGAGUGUGUUUUACUAGUCUGAUUUAUUUGGUUACCAACUUGACUUGUUUAUCAUUGUCCCAGAUUUCUGCUAUCCUCAAUCUUGGCUAGUCCUAUAAUUUUUUAGAUAUAUUUUUAUAUUUUUA